rnacentral:rRNA from 1 species
UACGAGAGGUUCAAACGUUAAUCGGAAUUAUUGGGCGUAAAGAGCUCGUAGGCGGUUUGUCGCGUCUGCCGUGAAAGUCCGGGGCUCAACUCCGGAUCUGCGGUGGGUACGGGCAGACUAGAGUGAUGUAGGGGAGACUGGAAUUCCUGGUGUAGCGGUGAAAUGCGCAGAUAUCAGGAGGAACACCGAUGGCGAAGGCAGGUCUCUGGGCAUUAACUGACGCUGAGGAGCGAAAGCAUGGGGAGCGAACAGG